UCACAUUCCCUCAUCCCCUCGUCCAAUCCAAUCGACCUGGGGGAACAGCCCUACCGACAGGCGACAGCGCCGCCUCCGGCGAAUCCCUUCAUCCUCUGCCUCGAUCGCUCCCUUUAUCGUCUGCCUCGAUCGCUCCCUCCCAUGUUGCCUCCUUGUCCCGCUGUUCUAUGCCGGCCGACGAAUUCCUCCAGCGCAUGCACACGGGAAAGAGAUCGCUUGGAGUAGAACUACCCUCGUACAAGAAUAGGCAGGAAAGGGGACGGUCACAUGAAGUUGUUGCCAUGUUGAACUGCCAGGCCACAGUUCACUCAGUCGCAGAUGAUGGCGAGGCGACAAGACGUACAGUGUGCCCAGCUCAUCCCAUGGUCGAUUGCGCUGGGGCGCUCAUGGUGGCGCUGGAAGGAUUCUCCUAGCCAAAUUUUAGCACAGAGGCGCCUUCCAGAGCACGUUGCCGCUAAUAGUGAUGUCCGGCGGCGCGAGGACAUGGUGAGGCUUCAACGAAUCAUCCAAGGCUUCGAAGGAUUAAAUCUGAGAACAUAAUUCUCGAAACGGGGGAGGUUCAAUUGGUGUUCCUGGAGAUGACAAGAAAGAUCAUUCAAGGGAAGGAGGAUUCGUUGUGAGAGAGUCGGAUGCCGGCGCGGAUCCUCUCAAAGGACUCAUUGCAGCACCACAAAGACACAGGCAACGGUGCUACUGCUGAUGGUAGAGAGGAGAUCAAUGGCAAGGGAGGCAAGGGAGAAACUGAGGGUCAAAGAGGGUUUACAACUAGGUAUAAAGCUUCACGAGGACUCAUCUUCUUCGGAUGGAAGAUGAUCAGUUACUGAUAAGUUAUAAAAUUUCUAUAUUUCGGUGAUGGUAUCGACUAGGUGUUCUUUCAGAUUUGCUUCUAUCAUGCGUAUUAAAACACGUUCAGCUUAUGUAGAUGAUGCACGGAUACUGCAGUAAAAGUAAAUACUUUACCUGUAAACUGAACUUUUGAUUUAGUAAUUCUACUUUUGGUCCAACAAUCGAUCAAUUGUUGAGGCUAUACUGAACCAAAAAUUGCUUACUGGGGCAGUACUAUAGUCUCUUGAUUAUGCUCUUAAGUAAAUAUCAUGUCUUCCUCUAAUUAGAAAUUUAGAAAACAAUAGGUUAAUCAGAAGCUUUCUUACAAGAAGAGUGCUCUUCAGAAGCUACUACAUGUAUACGCUCACAUCACAUGCAUGUUUUGUUUUCUUAAUUUUCAGGUGCUUGUGAAUAUCUGCAGAAGUACAGUAGCCUGUAGCUUUGUAGGCGUUGAACUAAAUACCAAUCCAAGUAAGAGCGAAAGGAAGAUAAUAUAGGUUUUGAUCCGCCAAAAGGUCUAUUUAUUCUCAUUUCAGUUAAGACUUACCUCUAAACAUUGCAUGAACUCCUGCACAUAUUGGAUACUUUAUUGAUGCACCUUCUUGCAUUUUAAUUCCAUGUAAGUUGUGUACUCUAUUUAAUAAGUUAUUUGUAUUUUGGCUACAAAUGAUUUUAUUGGAUAUACUAUAGACAUUUUCCGCAAGGACUGUUGCAACUUGCUAGACAUAGGAAAAGAUGGGAGUCAAUCCAAGAUGACAUCAGCAACCAAAGGUGUUUGAUUUUCUUUCGGUGUGGAAAUUAUUAUGAUGAUCAUUCAUCAUAGAUGGGUUAAUGCGAUUACUCUAUUAAGUGAAGGUUCGUCGUUUUUCCUUGAUCAAGGCUAUUAAUUUAUAGAUGAGUUUUCGAGUAUACUCAUAGUAGUCCAGUGACGAGUAUAAGUUGAAGCAAGAGUCUAUUACAUAAAAAACAUUUUCAUUUGAAAGUAGCCAUAAGAUAGAAAUGGCUAUACAUAUAUUGUAUACAUGAAAAUUAAGAUGUAUAUAGCAUGUCCAGCUUUGAGAGGCUAUUUUCCUCUUUUUGGUUAUACUUACUACUGUCCAUUUGAAGACAAAGGAAAACUUCUGCGAAACAACUUUUUUCAGAUUGUUUUAUCAUUUUCAA